rnacentral:rRNA from 1 species
GGAUGAACGCUGGCGGCGUGCCUAAUACAUGCAAGUCGAGCGAAUGGAUUGAGAGCUUGCUCUCAAGAAGUUAGCGGCGGACGGGUGAGUAACACGUGGGUAACCUGCCCAUAAGACUGGGAUAACUCCGGGAAACCGGGGCUAAUACCGGAUAAYAUUUUGAACUGCAUGGUUCGAAAUUGAAAGGCGGCUUCGGCUGUCACUUAUGGAUGGACCCGCGUCGCAUUAGCUAGUUGGUGAGGUAACGGCUCACCAAGGCAACGAUGCGUAGCCGACCUGAGAGGGUGAUCGGCCACACUGGGACUGAGACACGGCCCAGACUCCUACGGGAGGCAGCAGUAGGGAAUCUUCCGCAAUGGACGAAAGUCUGACGGAGCAACGCCGCGUGAGUGAUGAAGGCUUUCGGGUCGUAAAACUCUGUUGUUAGGGAAGAACAAGUGCUAGUUGAAUAAGCUGGCACCUUGACGGUACCUAACCAGAAAGC